rnacentral:rRNA from 1 species
UACGAAGGGGGCUAGCGUUGCUCGGAAUCACUGGGCGUAAAGCGCACGUAGGCGGAUCGUUAAGUCAGGGGUGAAAUCCUGGAGCUCAACUCCAGAACUGCCUUUGAUACUGGCGAUCUUGAGUUCGGGAGAGGUGAGUGGAACUGCGAGUGUAGAGGUGAAAUUCGUAGAUAUUCGCAAGAACACCAGUGGCGAAGGCGGCUCUUUGGCCUGUAACUGACGCUGAGGCGCGAAAGCGUGGGGAGCAAACAGG